UGGAGUCUGAUGACCAAGGGCAGGAAGCAUCCAGCACGGGACAAAGAAGAAAGCCAGAAGACUCAGCAAGCCAGCUCAUCUCACUUUCUUCUGCCUACUUUGUUGUAGCUGAGCUGGCAGCCAGUUGGAUGGUGCACACUCACAUUGAGGAUUGGGAGGCUGCUGUGUAUGGAUAAGAUACCUGCUACAGCCAGCUUGACACCAUGAGAAGGACAAGAGAAUUGCAGAGACACAUAUCCAGGAUUCUGAUCCAGUUGAGGCACUGAAAUAAUCUAGAACCACCUUCAAAUUUCUUAUAAAGAGAGAGCUCCUCCACUCUCUUCAGCAGUCAUCUGUGAAUCAGACUCCAGAUAUCUAUUGUAGAAUUUACACCAAGCAUAAAUUAAAUAAAAGAACUUCUGAAAGUUUCAAACCUGAAACAGAAAUGGCUUAAAAAAAUAUGUUCAUGAUAGGUCACUUGGUUUGAGUGGCUUAACAGAAGAAAACUCGAUUGAAAACAUUCGCCGGAGAUGGUGUUUUAUGCUAUGCUAUUAGGAUUUAAUUAAAUGGAUGCCAACAGCAAGUAAACCAUCUCCAAAGAUGCCAUGAAGCUCUCCUAAUUGCAGGAAAAUAUCAGAGGCACUUGAUUUGAGUCUUUCAAGUACGGAAAUAACAAAUUCAGUCUCAACAGACCUAUAGUGAAUGAGAAUGAUUGUCACAUAAUGUGUAGAGAAAAUGGAAGAAUCAAAGGCAAGGGAAACCUGUACAGUGGAGACACAAAGGGUCACUGGCAGAUUUCAAAUGAUCCAAGACAUCCUCAAGGAAGAUUUACCACAAGUUACUUUAUCAUAGCUUUGAGUGGCAUUUUAAUAUCAUAUUUUAAAAGAAAGAAAACAAUAGAAAUGUAUUAAAAUAUCUUCUCAAGAAUCCUUCCAAACCACAAGGAAAAUCACCAGGCCAAAAGUGAGGUUUGAAGUCUGGACAUGUACUGGUUUUCUCUAGCAAUCGACUCUCAAUUUUUGGACAUUGAGAUCUGCUGGUUGGAGAUCUUAGUGCCCAAGGAAGAAUGCUUGCAAAAGGAGAUGGAACAGUGUUUCUGUUGCAUUGGCCACUGAGAAUAUCUGGUUAUUUUGAAUUUGUCACAGUCUGCAGCUAAAAGGCGAACAGGAAAAGAAGAGAGAGCGGUAAUUUGAAUGAUAGCAGAUUUCACAUCAGGAACCAAUGAAGCUAGAUAAGAAUGCAACAUCUUUGAUGUCUAAAAGAAACAAAAAGCCAACCUUGAAUUCUUUAUUUAGUGAAGUUACCCUUCAGAAAUGACGGCAAAAUAAAGAUGUUUUCCAAUAAAAGACAACUAUGAGAAUUCUUCACCAGCAGUCCUAUUGUAUCAGAACAGCCAAAAGAAGUUUGUCAGCCUACAGGGAAUUAUAUCAAAGGGAAGACUUGACCUUGAAAAUGAAUGAGGAAUAUAAGAAAUUGAUAUUAUCUGGGAAGCGGCACAUGAGACUAGCAGGAGUAAAUGUUAUAUACACUGGGCCUCGCAAAAAUUCUGCAAUCACUGGGAAUCAGUAACCUGGUAGAAUGAGAAAACAACGUAAUACUGAAAAAUCAAAACACCAUCCUACAGAACUUUGAUGCAUUCAGAACAAAGAUCACGAAUCAAGCUGAAAAAGUAAAGCAUUCUGUGAGUUGUGGAAUGGAAAUUGCCUCAACCAUCUCACCACUUGAUGACACUUGUAAUUUCAGUGACCCAAUUCAAGCAAUCAAACAUCAAGUAAUACUCUCAAUAAAGAUGUGUAAUUAAAACAGAAGAGGAAACAGACUAACAGAAGUGAUGAAGAAUGGCAGUUCUAAGGAUGGCAGGAAUUCACUGAAUGUCUAUCUAUCAUGUAUGCUGUUGGAGGCACCUGUCUUUCAGUUCAGAGGUUAUGGAUGUAUCUAUCAUCAGUAUUUCGGGAAGUCAGGGACCCGGAACAGAGGGACUUAAUGAAGCUGUGGCAGAAGAAAAAAUUAUGAAGAUUUCAUGGACAUUUAUUAGUUCCCCAAAUUAAUACUUUUAUAAUUUCUUACA
rnacentral:lncRNA from 1 species